UNUAAUCCCAGCACUUUGGGAGCCAAGGC
rnacentral:piRNA from 1 species